GACGAACGCUGGCGGCGUGCUUAACACAUGCAAGUCGAACGAAGUGGCGAACGGGUGAGUAACGCGUAAUCAACCUGCCCUUCAGAGGGGGACAACAGUUGGAAACGACUGCUAAUACCGCAUACGGAAGGAGGGGAUUGCGUCGGAUUAGCUAGUUGGGGGGGGAACGGCCAACCAAGGUGAUGAACAGUGGCCGGUCUGGGAGGAUGAACGGCCACAUUGGGACUGAGACACGGCCCAGACUCCUACGGGAGGCAGCAGUGGGGAAUCUUCCGAAAUGGACGAAAGUCUGACGGAGCAACGCCGCGUGAGUGAUGACGGCCUUCGGGUUGUAAAGCUCUGUUAAUCGGGACGCGGUACCGGAAUAGAAAGCCACGGCUAACUCCGUGCCAGCAGCCGCGGUAAUAC
rnacentral:rRNA from 1 species